rnacentral:rRNA from 1 species
AUAGCGGAGGAAAAGAAACCAACAGGGAUUGCCCUAGUAACGGCGAGUGAAGCGGCAACAGCUCAAAUUUGAAAUCUGGCUCUUUCAGAGUCCGAGUUGUAAUUUGCAGAGGGCGCUUUGGCUUUGGCAGCGGUCCAAGUUCCUUGGAACAGGACGUCACAGAGGGUGAGAAUCCCGUACGUGGUCGCUAGCUAUUGCCGUGUAAAGCCCCUUCGACGAGUCGAGUUGUUUGGGAAUGCAGCUCUAAAUGGGAGGUAAAUUUCUUCUAAAGCUAAAUAUUGGCCAGAGACCGAUAGCGCACAAGUAGAGUGAUCGAAAGAUGAAAAGCACUUUGGAAAGAGAGUCAAACAGCACGUGAAAUUGUUGAAAGGGAAGCGCUUGCAGCCAGACUUGCUUGCAGUUGCUCAUCCGGGCUUUUGCCCGGUGCACUCUUCUGCAGGCAGGCCAGCAUCAGUUUGGGCGGUGGGAUAAAGGUCUCUGUCACGUACCUCUCUUCGGGGAGGCCUUAUAGGGGAGGCGACAUACCACCAGCCUGGACUGAGGUCCGCGCAUCUGCUAGGAUGCUGGCGUAAUGGCUGUAAGCGGCCCGUCUUGAAACACGGACCAAGGAGUCUAACAUCUAUGCGAGUGUUUGGGUGUCAAGCCCGAGCGCGUAAUGAAAGUGAACGGAGGUGGGAACCCGCAAGGGCGCACCAUCGACCGAUCCUGAAGUUUACGGAAGGAUUUGAGUAAGAGCAUGGCUGUUGGGACCCGAAAGAUGGUGAACUAUGCUUGAAUAGGGUGAAGCCAGAGGAAACUCUGGUGGAGGCUCGCAGCGGUUCUGACGUGCAAAUCGAUCGUCAAAUUUGGGCAUAGGGGCGAAAGACUAAUCGAACUAUCUAGUAGCUGGUUCCUGCCGA